rnacentral:rRNA from 1 species
UACAGAGGGUGCGAGCGUUGUCCGGAAUCACUGGGCGUAAAGGGCGCGUAGGCGGUCCCCUAAGUGUGUGGUGAAAGCUCGGGGCUCAACCCCGAGUCGGCCGUGCAAACUGGGGGACUCGAGCAUGUCAGAGGCAGGCGGAAUUCCGGGUGUAGCGGUGGAAUGCGGAGAGAUCCGGAAGAACACCGGUGGCGAAGGCGGCCUGAUGGGACAUGGCUGACGCUGAGGCGCGACAGCGUGGGGAGCAAACAGG